rnacentral:rRNA from 1 species
AUUGAACGCUGGCGGCAGGCCUAACACAUGCAAGUCGAGCGGAUGAAGGGAGCUUGCUCCUGGAUUCCGCGGCGGACGGGUGAGUAAUGCCUAGGAAUCUGCCUGGUAGUGGGGGAUAACGUCCGGAAACGGGCGCUAAUACCGCAUACGUCCUGAGGGAGAAAGUGGGGGAUCUUCGGACCUCACGCUAUCAGAUGAGCCUAGGUCGGAUUAGCUAGUUGGUGGGGUAAAGGCCUACCAAGGCGACGAUCCGUAACUGGUCUGAGAGGAUGAUCAGUCACACUGGAAGUGAGACACGGUCCAGACUCCUACGGGAGGCAGCAGUGGGGAAUAUUGGACAAUGGGCGAAAGCCUGAUCCAGCCAUGCCGCGUGUGUGAAGAAGGUCUUCGGAUUGUAAAGCACUUUAAGUGGGGAGGAAGGGCAGUAAGUUAAUACCUUGCUGUUUUGACGGUACCAACAGAAUAAGCACCGGCUAACUUCGUG